UUUUUGGGCUUAACAAGCUCUCGCCUGUCGCUAGCAGCUGUCACUUUAGCUACUUGUAGUCACUUUGCCAUCAAAAUGUGCUGAAUUUAUUAAAAGGAACCAGAUACUUAUGAAACAGGACUAAAAGGUCUACAGGGAGAAAACAGCCGCUCAGCCACUAAAAGUCUGCAGAGCAGAAGCUCUAAUCUCUACACUUGCAAAAUUAGUAAAAUCUGCUGUCCAUACAAUUUCGUUUUCAAGAUUAAGAAACCAGCAUCCUUUGAAGAUGGAGUAGUAUAAGCAAAAAUAGAUGCUAAUGCAAUUGAAGUCUGAUCCCACAUUUUGUGAAUUUUGGAGUGAAAUGUAACUGACUACAACUCUAGGAGCCUGGUUCACACUGGGAGGCAGCUUCUUGCCUCUUGGAAGGAUAGAAAGGAGCUUCCAUGGGUCUUGGAAAACAGGACUGAGAAUACCCCCUAAAAGGCGUUUACUGUUGAACAGUGAAUAGGAAGAAGAUGAUUGUCAGGUAGUGGCUGGAGUGUUGAAUUAACACUGGAAGACACCAUUUCAAGUCUCACCUCAUCCAUGGAGCUCACUUUGGGUCAGUUGCAAUCUUUAUCUAGGAUUAUCAUGAAAAUAAAAUGGGGGA